GAUGAACGCUAGCGGGAGGCUUAACACAUGCAAGUCGAGGGGCAUCACGAGGUAGCAAUACUUUGGUGGCGACCGGCAGACGGGUGAGUAACGCGUAUGCAACCUACCCUGUACAGGGGGAUAGCCCGGAGAAAUUCGGAUUAAUACCCCAUAACGAUAUUUGGAGGCAUCUUUGAAUAUUUAAAGUUUCGGCGGUACGGGAUGGGCAUGCGUAACAUUAGCUUGUUGGUAGGGUAACGGCCUACCAAGGCAACGAUGUUUAGGGGACCUGAGAGGGUGAUCCCCCACACUGGUACUGAGACACGGACCAGACUCCUACGGGUGGCAG
rnacentral:rRNA from 1 species